rnacentral:rRNA from 1 species
CCUACGGGUGGCAGCAGUGGGGAAUAUUGGGCAAUGGGCGCAAGCCUGACCCAGCAACGCCGCGUGAAGGAAGAAGGCUUUCGGGUUGUAAACCUCUUUUAAGAGGGAAGAGCAGAAGCCGGUACCUCUUGAAUAACCACUGGCUACCUCCGUGCCAGCAGCCGCGGGAAUACGUAGGUGGCAAGCGUUGUCCGGAUUUACUGGGUGUAAAGGGCGUGUAGCCGGGUUGACAAGUUAGAUGUGAAAUUCCGGGGCUCAACCCCGGACCUGCAUUUGAAACUGUUGGUCUUGAGUGUCGGAGAGGCAGGUGGAAUUCCUAGUGUAGCGGUGAAAUGCGUAGAUAUUAGGAAGAACACCAGUGGCGAAGGCGGCCUGCUGGACGACAACUGACGGUGAGGCACGAAAGCGUGGGGAGCAAACAGGAUUAGAUACCCUUGUAGUC